CCAGUCCUUCUUCCAAUUCCUCCUUGCAUGGGAGGCUUGCAGAGGAGAGCAAGGGGUGGGCAGCCAGAAUGUCGGAAUUCUCUUCCUGGCUCCUGUUCCAGAAAGGGCCAGAAAGGGCUCUCCCCUUUCUCUGGGUCUCUAGUUCCAGCUCCAGGGAAUCAGAUUCCCUUAAGAAACAGCAGCAGGUGGGAGAGGCAGAGAGUACUGGAGAGAUCAUUCAGGGACCAUAACUGGAAUCAAGGACAUCUGUCCCACUGCCAGACAGUGCCUCAUUUCCAGAGCUGGACCGCUAAGAGAGGAUCAUCCCAAGGGAAGACUGCCAGCUCUGACUGGCAGUUGUCUCCCUGCAUAAGAUGAACUGUGAGUAUUGUACAAGUGUCCAGGCCCAAAAAAGCUUAUAUAGAGAUUCAAGCUGGAAUAAUUAUUGAAACACUUUGUAACUGGUUAAGUUUAAGAACUUAGGUCUAGGCUCAUCUCUCCCCUUUUACUUUCAUUUUGUAUUAAAACUAAAUUCCUUGGUCUAAGA